rnacentral:rRNA from 1 species
GAUGAACGCUGGCGGCGUGCCUAAUACAUGCAAGUCGAGCGAACGGACGAGAAUCUUGCUUCUCUGAUGUUAGCGGCGGACGGGUGAGUAACACGUGGAUAACCUACCUAUAAGACUGGGAUAACUUCGGGAAACCUUAUCUAAUACCGGAUAAUAUUUUGAACCGCAUGGUUCAAAAGUGAAAGACGGUCUUGCUGUCACUUAUAGAUGGAUCCGCGCUGCAUUAGCUAGUUGGUAAGGUAACGGCUUACCAAGGCAACGAUGCAUAGCCGACCUGAGAGGGUGAUCGGCCACACUGGAACUGAGACACGGUCCAGACUCCUACGGGAGGCAGCAGUAGGGAAUCUUCCGCAAUGGGCGAAAGCCUGACGGAGCAACGCCGCGUGAGUGAUGAAGGUCUUCGGAUCGUAAAGCUCUGUUAUUAGGGAAGAACGUAUGUGUAAGUAGAUGUGGACGUCUUGACGGUACCUAAUCAAAAAGCAACGGCUAACUACGUG